rnacentral:rRNA from 1 species
GAUGAACGCUGGCGGCGUGCCUAAUACAUGCAAGUCGAGCGAACGGACGAGAAGCUUGCUCCUCUGAUGUUAGCGGCGGACGGGUGAGUAACACGUGGAUAACCUACCUAUAAGACUGGGAUAACUUCGGGAAACCGUAGCUAAUACCGGAUAAUAUUUUGAACCGCAUGGUUCAAAAGUGAAAGACGGUCUUGCUGUCACUUAUAGAUGGAUCCGCGCUGCAUUAGCUAGCUGGUAAGGUAACGGCUUACCAAGGCAACGAUGCAUAGCCGACCUGAGAGGGUGAUCGGCCACACUGGAACUGAGACACGGUCCAGACUCCUACGGGAGGCAGCAGUAGGGAAUCUUCCGCAAUGGGCGAAAGCCUGACGGAGCAACGCCGCGUGAGUGAUGAAGGUCUUCGGAUCGUAAAACUCUGUUAUUGGGGAAGAACAUAUGUGUAAGUAACUGUGCACAUCUUGACGGUACCUAAUCAGAAAGCCACGGCUAACUACGUG